rnacentral:rRNA from 1 species
GAUCCCUUCCCGAACUCAGAAGUGAAACGAUGCAUCGCCGAUGGUAGUGUGGGGCUUCCCCAUGUGAGAGUAGGUCAUCGUCAAGC